ensembl:lncRNA
GGAAAUUCUGUGGAACUUCUAUAAAAAAAAUUUGAGGCCCACAAGGUUCAGUGAAACUCAAACCAAAGCUCUGGAUGUUGUAGGAAUUCCUUGGAGAAAUUGUGCACUAGUUAUGAAUCUGUGGUGCAUUGGCAGCUGUGUAAGCAAGGAAAAAAUCAGCCCUGCAAGCUUUGAAUCAAGACCAUUUUGAGAGGAAAACUGAUGACAUGGAAGAUACACAAAAAGGUCAGAGGUGGAGAUAAAAGGGAACUUUUCUUCAUUCCCAAUCUAUGCAACUUUUCAUAAAUUACAGAAGCCUCACUUGGAGUGUGUCUGCUUGGGGGAAUCAGAGGAGAACAACAGCGUGAACCUGGAGUGUUUGCACAAUGUAGUUCAAGCUCUUGUGGACAUGGAUGAACCCACUUGAACACCAGGGACCCUUCAUGAAAGACAAAUGAAGCUGCUCAUGAGAUCCAUGCAGAAUAGCUGAUGUAGGCUUUUUAUACAAUUCGCCGUUUGUUUACAUUUAUUAUCCUUUAUCGCAAUGCUUGUCUAUGUGCAUCAACAGUUCCCAUGAUGGUACAGUGGGAGGCAUAAUUCCCAUUUGUUUGAGUUGUGGAUUUCUUUUGAAAAAACUAUGAACACAGGACAAUGAAAAAGAGCUACUCUUUCCUGCACAUCAUGAGGGAGUACAGCAGAAUCUAAUAUUCAACGCAGCAGUGUGAAUGCACAGUGAGUGCAUGCAGCUCUCAAAACCCCUGGAAAACAGAUAAGCACAGUUCCAUUCUGGAGGAAUAUUUUUUGUGACUGAGGAGUCUCAGCAUGUAGUAAGUCCCUCAAGCCUGUUUUUCCUUGGUCAAGUUCCUAUGUUGUAUCUUUCCCUUUCCCAAACAAAUUGUCUCAUGUAAGGACCAGAUUUUGGUGGAUAAGUCAAUAUUUUUUAAUCCUAUUAGAGUCACUCUAAGAGUGUAGCUGUCAGGAUGCAUUGAUACUAAUUUUCCAGGGAUUUAAAACUUCCUUGUCAUUGAUACAGCACCAAAGCAACCUGCAAAUUCACUAAGUUGCAGAGUUUACCAGUGAAGCCACACAAAGGCUUUCAACAUCUCUUCUGUAUUCUCCAAUUGCUUCUAAGGCUCUCUGCUAAUUUCAAUACUUGCUGUGGCUUCCUCUACCUUGAGGAAGCAGUUUCUGGAAUUGUCAUUGACUUCCUCUAGAAAGCUGGUUGUUUCCAAAACACAAAAUCUCAUUGAAAAACUAUGAACCAUCCUCUGAUACAAUGAGUAUUAGUAAAAUUUCACAGAAUUUUUACUGUAUUAAGUGCUAAGCAACUAAACAGAUAGUUCAAAAUCCAAUAAAGAGAUCAUAAAAAAACUGAACA